CACAACCUGCGCCCUGCUGUGUUUGUGCAGGUGGUGAGCGACAGCGACGACGAUGGUGAUGAUGACGAUGAUGAAGAUGAUGAUGAUGAUGAUGAAGACACCAGCUGCUCCGUGAGGUUCCGCAGAAGUUUGAUGCUGUACGGAGUCGGUGGGCAUUCGGACAGCAGCGGCUUCGUGGAGGAGCCCCUUCCUGAGCAGACAGACUGAGCCCAUCGGGGGUCUCCUGCCUGCACCACCUCCCCCCUUCUCCCACCCAACCGCUGCUCCGGCACCGGAGUGCAACAACGAGUGCAGGAAAGUUUGCACCGCUGCGCUUCAGGCGACGGAACCCAUCCUCAGCCCAGAGCUGAGCACCGUGUGGACACUUGUGUGUGUGUGUGUGUGUGUGCAAAUGCAUGCACAAGUAUGUUGGAUGCACCCAAAACUCAGGACUGGCACCUGCACCCUCCCCCUCCCCUCCUUCUCCCUCCUCUGCCCCUUUUCCUCGGGGCUUCACUUGCACUUUGGAGUUGGCUGCUCCCCCGGCGCUUGGAACACUAGGAUGGGGGUUUUGCUGGGGAAUAGCUGACAGCACACUGGAAAUAAAGGUCCCAAUGGGA